rnacentral:rRNA from 1 species
UACCAGCACCCCGAGUGGUCGGGACGAUUAUUGGGCCUAAAGCAUCCGUAGCCGGUUCUACAAGUCUUCCGUUAAAUCCACCUGCUUAACAGAUGGGCUGCGGAGGAUACUAUGGAGCUAGGAGGCGGGAGAGGCAAGCGGUACUUAGUGGGUAGGGGUAAAAUCCGUUGAUCCAUUGAAGACCACCAGUGGCGAAGGCGGCUUGCCAGAACGCACUCGACGGUGAGGGAUGAAGCUGGGGGAGCAAACCGG